UUUUGCAACGCUUUGGGCAGUGGAUUAAGACAAUUUUGGGAACUCAUUUAGCAGCGGGUUGUCAAGUGUGUUUGGACGACGCCGCCGUGAAAUAAGACCACAUGCAAUGACGUCACGCAAACUACAGGUGAUCAGACAUCGUUAUAUGGCCAAACGAGUCCAGGAACUUGAUCCAGAAACCAGACAGUGUAUGGAGCAAUGUAGCGAAUGCACACCCUUCCUUGGAGAUCAAACGGCAUUGAUAGGCGGAGUGUGUGGUGAUCAGAUCUUACUUGACCAAUCAGCAUUGUCGGGGA